AAAAAAAAUCAUUUAUCCGGGAAUUUGUAUUCAAAUCGCUCUCUAAAUAAAUAAAUAAAACAUUUUUUUAUAUAAUAAACUAAGC
rnacentral:misc_RNA from 1 species